CAAUAGCGUAUAUUAAAGUUGUUGCGGUUAAAAAGCUCGUAGUCGGAUUUCUGCCGAGGAAGAACGGUCCGCCUUCUGGGUGUGUAUCUGUCUCAUCCUGGGCAUCCUCUUGGAGAACGUUGUCACACUUGAUUGUGCGGCACGGAACCCAAAACAUUUGCUUUGAGGAAAUUAGAGUGUUUCAAGCAGGCCUUCGCCGUAAAUACGUUAGCAUGGAAUAAUAAUAUAGUUUGGUUCUAUUUUGUUGGUUUCUAGAGCUGAGGUAAUGAUUAAUAGGGAUAGUUGGGGGCAUUCGUUUUUAACUGUCAGAGGUGAAAUUCUUGGAUUUGUUAAAAACGGACUACUGCGAAAGCAUUUGCCAACGAUGUUUUCAUUGA
rnacentral:rRNA from 1 species